AUUGAACGCUGGCGGCAGGCCUAACACAUGCAAGUCGAGCGGAUGAAGGGAGCUUGCUCCUGGAUUCAGCGGCGGACGGGUGAGUAAUGCCUAGGAAUCUGCCUGGUAGUGGGGGAUAACGUCCGGAAACGGGCGCUAAUACCGCAUACGUCCUGAGGGAGAAAGUGGGGGAUCUUCGGACCUCACGCUAUCAGAUGAGCCUAGGUCGGAUUAGCUAGUUGGUGGGGUAAAGGCCUACCAAGGCGACGAUCCGUAACUGGUCUGAGAGGAUGAUCAGUCACACUGGAACUGAGACACGGUCCAGACUCCUACGGGAGGCAGCAGUGGGGAAUAUUGGACAAUGGGCGAAAGCCUGAUCCAGCCAUGCCGCGUGUGUGAAGAAGGUCUUCGGAUGGUAAAGCACUUUAAGUUGGGAGGAAGGGCAGUAAGUUAAUACCUUGCUGUUUUGACGUUACCAACAGAAUAAGCACCGGCUAACUUCGUG
rnacentral:rRNA from 1 species